GCCUUCUACAAGAAUUGGACUCCGUCUGAACUUCCAUAGCGAAUGGAUUUCGGACGAACUUCUACAACGGAUGGGCUCCAGUAGCUAGAUUUCUACAACGAUCGACCACCAUCGGUGUCUACCGUACCUCCCCAGCCAUCAACCUCCAAUAGCAUCAGUCAGACUUCAACAACGCCAUCCGAACUUCCACUAGAUCCUCCAGACUCCUCCAACAGAUGAACCUCCCCAACGCCACCCGAAGUCCACUACCGAUCGACCCUCUACUGGAUUCCUCAUGAAAUCGGACUUUCCCAAUAAAAAGUCUCCAUCCGAGCUUCUACAGCAGAUGACUCCUGCCUGCAGCAUCAGUGCUCUAGGCACCCAACAAUAGUGGACCC
rnacentral:lncRNA from 1 species